rnacentral:rRNA from 1 species
CACGUAGGGGGCGAGCGUUGUCCGGAUUUAUUGGGCGUAAAGAGCUCGUAGGCGGCUCGGUAAGUGAGGUGUGAAACUCCAGGCUCAACCUGGAGACGCCACCCUCAUACUGGCCGUGGCUAGAGUCCGGUAGGGAGCAUGGAAUUCCUGGUGUAGCGGUGAAAUGCGCAGAUAUCAGGAGGAACACCAAUGGCGAAGGCAGCUCGCUGGGACGGUACUGACGCUGAGGCACGAAAGCGUGGGGAGCAACAGG